AACGAACGCUGGCGGCAGGCCUAACACAUGCAAGUCGAGCGAGGACUUCGGUUCUAGCGGCGGACGGGUGAGUAACGCGUGGGAAUGUGCCCUUCUCUACGGAAUAGCCCUGGGAAACUGGGAGUAAUACCGGAUACGCCCUAUUGGGGAAAGAUUUAUCGGAGAAGGAUCAGCCCGCGUUGGAUUAGGUAGUUGGUGGGGUAAUGGCCUACCAAGCCGACGAUCCAUAGCUGGUUUGAGAGGAUGAUCAGCCACACUGGGACUGAGACACGGCCCAGACUCCUACGGGAGGCAGCAGUGGGGAAUCUUAGACAAUGGGGGCAAUCCUGAUCGAGCCAUGCCGGGUGAGUGAUGAAGGCCUUAGGGUUGUAAAGCUCUUUCAGCUGGGAAGAUAAUGACGGUACCAGCAGAAGAAGCCCCGGCUAACUCCGUG
rnacentral:rRNA from 1 species